AACUCUCCUGCUAGCUGAAUACUAAUUCUAACUAGAAGCGUUUGCAGCUUUGGCAAUCAUGAGAACAUCACUUGGGGAUGGGAUCAAAGGUACAUACAAAUCCAUGUAAUAACUUCGAUUGCAAUAUCUGUUGCUCUUGAGUACUCAAUCAUUGAGCUUUGAUAAUCUGCUCCUGAAAUUCAAAUAAUCUUCUCCAAUCCCUUGUGAAUAUACGAGUCAAAUUUCUUAGCAGUUUUUACCAUCUCCUAACACUACACACUAAGCAGAAACCAAUCAAUUUUCACCUCUACGGGUCCAAAAACACAGAAAAAGAAGGAAGAUGACAAAUCUUCUGAAAAAAGAAAUGGAGUUUAGUCAGCUAGCUCGUCAUGCGAAAUAAGUCGUGCAACUUAUGAUCAUCGGUGGCGGCAGUCUCAGCGAUGGACCUCGCUGCCUUCUCCUCGACAACCGCCUUUACACGAGCCAUCGUCGGCCGGAGCCCUGGCUGCGCAGCCAGACACUCGACGGCGAUCUUCCCGAUGUCAAUGGCUUCCUCUGCAUCAUACCCGUUCCCCAACUGGCCAUCGACAAGCCCCUCCACCCCUACCGCCCUGACACGUGGCAGGAUCCUCGCCGUCAGGUACUCCCCGUCCCCGGCGGCCGGCGACCCCGUGACAGCCUCGAGCAGCAGCACGCCGAAGCUGUACACGUCAGACUUCUUGGACACGACGCCGGUGCGGAGGAAGAAGGGGUCGGCGUACCCCGGCGAGCCCACGGCGGCUAGUACUCAAUCAUUGAGUACUCAAUCAUUGAGCUUUGAUAAUCUCUGCUCCUGAAAUUCAGAUAAUCUUCUCCAAUCCCUUGUGAAUAUACGAGUCAAAUUUCUUAGCAGUUUUUACCAUCUCCUAACACUACACACUAAGCAGAAACCAAUCAAUUUUCAUCUCUAGGAGUCCAAAAACACAUAAAAAGAAGGAAGAUGACAAAUCUUCUGAAAAAAAGAAAUGGAGUUUAGUCAGCUAGCUCGUCAUGCGAAAUAAGUCAUGCAAACUUAUGACCAUCGCCGCCGGUCGUCGCGGCGAUAGACCUCGCCGCCUUCUCCUCGACGGACGCCCGCACCCGCGCCAUCGUCGGCCGGAGCCCUGGCUGCGCCGCCAAACACUCGACGGCGAUCUUCCCGAUGUCAAUGGCUUCCUCUGCAUCAUACCCGUUCCCCAACCCGCCAUCGACAAGCCCCUCCACCCCUACCGCCCUGACACGUGGCAGGAUCCUCGCCAUCAGGUACUCCCCGUCCUCGGCGGCCGGCGACCCCGUGACAGCCUCGAGUAGCAGCACGCCGAAGCUGUACACGUCAGACUUCUUGGACACGACGCCGAUGCGGAGGAAGAAGGGGUCGGCGUACCCCGGCAAGCCCACGGCGGCUAGUACUCAAUCAUUGAGUACUCAAUCAUUGAGCUUUGAUAAUCUCUGCUCCUGAAAUUCAGAUAAUCUUCUCCAAUCCCUUGUGAAUAUACGAGUCAAAUUUCUUAGCAGUUUUUACCAUCUCCUAACACUACACACUAAGCAGAAACCAAUCAAUUUUCAUCUCUAGGAGUCCAAAAACACAGAAAAAGAAGGAAGAUGACAAAUCUUCUGAAAAAAAGAAAUGGAGUUUAGUCAGCUAGCUUGUCAUGCGAAAUAAGUCAUGCAACUUAUGACCAUCGCCGCCGGUCGUCGCGGCGAUAGACCUCGCCGCCUUCUCCUCGACGGACGCCCGCACCCGCGCCAUCGUCGGCCGGAGCCCUGGCUGCGCCGCGAGGCACUCGACGGCAAUCUUCCCGAUGUCAAUGGCUUCCUCUGCAUCAUACUCGCUCCCCAACCGGCCAUCGACAAGCCCCUCCACCCCUACCGCCCUGACACGUGGCAGGAUCCUCGCCGUCAGGUACUCCCCGUCCCCGGCGGCCGGCGACCCCGUGACAGCCUCGAGCAGCAGCACGCCGAAGCUGUACACGUCGGACUUCUUGGACACGACGCC
rnacentral:lncRNA from 1 species